rnacentral:rRNA from 1 species
GUUUAAUAACAAGAUUUAUAUAAGAGUUAGUUAAUACAUAUUUUAUAAUAAAAGUUAUUUUGUUGGGGUGACAAGAAAAUAAUAUAACUUUUCUUAAUAUUUAACAUUGAUUUAUGAUUAUAGGAUCCUAAAAAGAGAUUAUAAGAUUAAAU